rnacentral:rRNA from 1 species
AUGGCUUUCGACUCUCUGUCUGAUGUGUCGCCAGUGAGCCGGCACUGGUCUAUUCGUGUGCGUGUUGCACGUAUGUGGGACUACUGUGGAACACGUGAUGGACAUCCUCCAAUACAUGUUGAUCUUGUAUUGGUGGAUGAGAAGGGUAACCAUAUUUAUGCUAAGAUUCUUGGAAACGAAGCAACAAAGUUCAAACAGCUUGUUGAGGAGCAGAAAGUCUACUGCUUCAAGAAGUUCUUGGUUGUUCCAAGCAAAGCUUCUUACAAGCCAUUCCCUGCCAAGUAUAUGAUUAGGUUCACACCAUGGACCACCGUUGUAGAUGCAGAGGAUGUUCAUCCAGAGUUCCCAAUGUAUGUGUACAACCUCAUGCCAUUCUCCGAACUGCCAUCACGUGUUGGUGCUCAGGAUUUCUUUGUUGUUGUUGGUGUGUCACAGCUGGCAUACGUGCGCAUGCCUACAAACAUAGCUGACACUCCAAAGCAAGUCAUUGCCCUCAGAGACGACAGGGCUGUAGAGUUUGAAGCACAGCUUGUGUACGACAAUGGACAGAACCUACCUGUUGUUGGUGUUUUUGUUGGUCUUCUGAUGAAAUCUUACAAUAAUGAUGAAACUCUGAGUGGAGGAUCUGCAUGUAGAUGGUAUCUAAACGAGGACAUUCCUGAAAUAGAUGACUGCUUUGAAAGGUUGGGUGAUGAUUUCCAGAAAGUUCAAUGGAUAUCAAAUGGUGCUGAGAAGUUUGCCGCAAAACGCAACCGAGCUGACCUGCCACAGAGAAGUGUCGACGAGCUUCGAAACAUGGACCCAUGGGAGACAGAGAACACGGAUUUCCUUUGCACCGUCACAAUUACAAAGGUGAUGCCUGAGCAGCCAUGGUGGUUCCAAUCGUGUUCUAAGUGCCAUCGGUCAGCCACCUCUUAUGGCUCCGAGUUCAAAUGCAGCGCAAGAUGUGUGUCGACGAAAGCUUACCCAAAAUUCCGUCUUUGUUUGGAAGGAACAGAUGGCACAGGCACAACAGAGUUUGUGUUCUUUAACCGAGUUGCACAACAACUUGUUGGAAAAUCUGUCAUGGCACUGCUAAGGUCAUCUGGGCUUCCUCGCGAGAUAGCUACUAUUGUGUCUCAAAAAUACACCCUCGCUGUCUCGGUGACCCAAAAGAGCCUAUCACAGAGAAACAUCUCAUUUCAAGUGAAUGGCAUUGAAACCUUCUUUGGGAGGCAGAACUCUGUGCCACAUGAUACUCGUGCCUCUACUGUGAUGCCCCUCGCAGCUCCAGCUGGUUCUUCAACUGACCAUGCGCCUGCUCUACCUAACAAUCCCAGCUCUGGUGAAGGGAUUCCUGAGCUCCCCAUAGAGACUGACAAAGAAAUCAAAAAGUCAAGCACAUCACGCGUGCCGCUUCGUCUCCUGAAGAGAAAGAAGACUGAUGCCUCUGCUGAAGUAGAGUUGUCAAGCAAAGUGACUGAAAAUGGUGCUUCAAGUGAUGGAACUAUAGUCCUGCCAAUUACACCUCCCAUUAAGAUUGACAAGACUGUUGUUACUGCCUCUGAUCCUCCAAAGAAGCCCAAGAAGGGAGACAAUGGCUCCAAAACAAAGUGA